GAUGAACGCUAGCUACAGGCUUAACACAUGCAAGUCGAGGGGCAGCAUGGAGGUUGCUUGCAACCUCCGAUGGCGACCGGCGCACGGGUGAGUAACGCGUAUCCAACCUUCCCCUUAGUAGGGCAUAGCCCGGCGAAAGUCGGAUUAAUACCCUAUGUUGUUCGUCGAGGACAUCUGAAGUGAACCAAAGAUUUAUCGCUAAGGGAUGGGGAUGCGUCCGAUUAGGUUGUUGGCGGGGUAACGGCCCACCAAGCCCUCGAUCGGUAGGGGUUCUGAGAGGAAGGUCCCCCACAUUGGAACUGAGACACGGUCCAAACUCC
rnacentral:rRNA from 1 species